rnacentral:rRNA from 1 species
UGGCGGACGGGUGAGUAACGCGUGGGUAACCUACCCAUAAACCCGGGACAACCCUUGGAAACGAGGGCUAAUACCGAAUAAUCUUAGAUCUUGGCAUCAAGGUUUAAGGAAAGGUGGCCUCUGAAUAUGCUACCGAUUAUGGAUGGACCCGCGUCUGAUUAGCUAGUUGGUGGGGUAAAGGCCUACCAAGGCGACGAUCAGUAGCCGGCCUGAGAGGGUGAACGGCCACACUGGGACUGAGACACGGCCCAGACUCCUACGGGAGGCAGCAGUGGGGAAUCUUCCGCAAUGGACGAAAGUCUGACGGAGCAACGCCGCGUGAGUGAUGAAGGCCUUCGGGUUGUAAAACUCUGUCCUUAGGGAAGAAAAAAAUGACGGUACCUAUGGAGGAAGCCCCGGCUAACUACGUGCCAGCAGCCGCGGUAAUACGUAGGGGGCAAGCGUUGUCCGGAAUUAUUGGGCGUAAAGAGCAUGUAGGCGGGAAUUUAAGUCAGAUGUGAAAACUUGGGGCUCAACCCCAAGAUUGCACCUGAUACUGGAUUUCUUGAGGGUAUGAGAGGAAAGCGGAUUCCUAGUGUAGCGGUGAAAUGCGUAGAUAUUAGGAGACAACAGUGCGACGCGCUUUCUGCAUACACUGACGCUGAGAUGCGAAGCGUGGGGGAGCAACAGGAUUAGAUAC